rnacentral:lncRNA from 1 species
UGAUGAACAAACUAAAACUUCAUUCAUAAGUUGAACAAUGGCAUAAUGCCAAUACAUAAACCAAGCAAUUUGCUUGUCAAAAUCUGCAUAAUGAUACCUAAUCAUCACCUACUACCACUAAUACAUUGAAACUUGAAAAACUAAGCUUGCACACUUAAACAAAGCUGACUUAACAGCUCAAUUGUAAUCAAAAUUACAUCA